rnacentral:sRNA from 1 species
GUCCUUGAUUAUGAUCUCCAGAAAGUUGAAGAUUGUGAGGAGGAAACUGUGGAGACCUGAACUCAGAAGAA